rnacentral:rRNA from 1 species
CACGUAGGGUGCGAGCGUUGUCCGGAAUUAUUGGGCGUAAAGAGCUCGUAGGCGGUGUGUCGCGUCGGCCGUGAAAACCUGCAGCUUAACUGUGGGCUUGCGGUCGAUACGGGCAUCACUGGAGUUCGGCAGGGGAGACUGGAAUUCCUGGUGUAGCGGUGGAAUGCGCAGAUAUCAGGAAGAACACCAACGGCGAAGGCAGCUCGCUGGGACGGAACUGACGCUAAGGCGCGAAAGCGUGGGGGAGCGAACGAGG